CUAUGGGUAAGUGAGUAACUAUGGGUGCUCCACUUUAGGUGUCUGUAUGCCCCUGCACCUCUAAUCGGAGAUUUUUGGUAGCAGUGUCCCGUUGAGCCCACACAUGUGCUCUCCCUCCCUCAUGGUCUGCCUCAAGGCUAUUUAGCACUACACGGGCAAACCCCCUUCACUUCCUUCUCUACCACCGAGCCCUAUAGAGAACUCCAAAGUAGAGGGGAGGAGGGCGGGUUAUGGAGCACCCAUAAGGACACACAUCUCGAAGAACCAUUGUUACUGCACAAAGCGAGUAACUUCCUCUUCUCCUUCGAGUAGUGUCCCUAUGGGUGCUCCACUUUAGGUGGCUCCGGAGCAGUACCCACUACUGGAAGCUGGGACUUCGGAGCGGAGACUUUUACUACAGGAGUACUGUGGAGUUGAAGAUGGUGUCAGUGGCCACAUCUUCAGUGGUCGCAUAAUGUUCUGCAAAAGUAUGGACAGAGGCCCCAAUCAUUGCUCUAUCGAUUGGGGAGAUGGGGUAGCCCUAUGGAAUGUGAUUGAGCUUGUCAGAGCAUUCUGUUUCUAAGCCUUGGAACAAAGAAAGAUCCAAGCCUGCAGGUGGAGGACCCAUCGGUUGGGGUGAAGAGUCAGUCCAUUGUUUUGAGAGAGCGGGUGAAGAAUGAGCUGACAUCAGAGGAACAGGAGGGCAUACUGCCAUCUGCGUCAGAACACUUUCACCUUUAAUCUUUUCAUGUCAGAAGAUGCUGAAGAAGGAAAGAAGAAGAAACACACUGAAGAAACAUAAGGCGCAGCAUGAGAAAUGUGUUUACUAAAAAGAGACUGGAGAGAAAAUAAAAACAUGAAAAGGAGUAGAAGACAAGACAGAGAAGGAAGAAUUUUCUGUAAUAUGUAUCAUAUAAAAUAAUGUACCCCAAAAUGCA